GCGGGUGUAACUCAAUGGUAGAGUUCUAGCUUCCCAAGCUAGCUACGAGGGUUCGAUUCCCUUCACCCGCUCCA
rnacentral:tRNA from 5 species